CAUCCCUCGUCUCCCCUGUCACAUGGGUGAUCUUAACUCCCAUCUACCUCUUUCGUCUCUUAUGCAACCUGCCCCAAUGAAUUUUGAGUUGGAUAUCUGUACUAAUUCUAACAGCAUUGAUUAACCUUUUCAUCUCCACAUAAAACUUGAUCAUUUCUUACUAUUGCAGGCCAAUCUGCAGGACGGUAUCAGAUGCUGCUUAUGCCCUGGAUGUCAUUGUGGGUUAUGAUCGCCAUGAUGCAGUGGCAACAAGAGAAGCUUCAAAAUACAUUCCAAAUGGUGGAUAUGUGCAAUUUCUCAAACCUGAUGGGCUUAGGGGCAAGAGAUUAGGGAUAUCAAAUUAUCUCUAUUUUGGUUUCCCAAAAAAUUCAGGCAUUUCUCAACUUUUUAAGCAGCCUUUGCAGAUAUUAAGGCAAGGAGGUGCAAUUUUGGUUGACCAUAUUAAAAUACCAAACUACGAAACCAUCAAAGAUUCCAUGUUCAUUGGUGAGCAGAUAGCGAUGACAGCUGAGCUGAAGUUGUCUCUAAAUGCUUAUCUCAAAGGGCUAAUCACUUCUCCAGUGAGAUCAUUGGCAGAUAUAAUAGCAUUCAACAACAAAUUCUCUGAUUUGG